rnacentral:rRNA from 1 species
CCUCGGGAGGCUGCAGUGGGGAAUAUUGGACAAUGGGCGAAAGCCUGAUCCAGCCAUGCCGCGUGUGUGAAGAAGGCCUUCGGGUUGUAAAGCACUUUCAGUGGGGAAGAAAGCCUUGGGGCUAAUACCCUCGAGGAAGGACAUCACCCACAGAAGAAGCACCGGCUAACUCCGUGCCAGCAGCCGCGGUAAUACGGAGGGUGCGAGCGUUAAUCGGAAUUACUGGGCGUAAAGCGCGCGUAGGCGGUCUGAUAAGCCGGUUGUGAAAGCCCCGGGCUCAACCUGGGAACGGCAUCCGGAACUGUCAGGCUAGAGUGCAGGAGAGGAAGGUAGAAUUCCCGGUGUAGCGGUGAAAUGCGUAGAGAUCGGGAGGAAUACCAGUGGCGAAGGCGGCCUUCUGGACUGACACUGACGCUGAGGUGCGAAAGCGUGGGUAGCAAACAGGAUUAGAUACCCCAGUAGUC